ensembl:lncRNA
AUGGAGCUGAACACAGGAGCACGCAACACUGCUAGAAGCUGGGGCUGUGGCUUUUGCCACAGGUGUCCUAAAGAAGAACACCUUAGAUGGCUUUAAAGAGGACUACAGUGUGUGACUGAGUGCCAGAGCUGCAGGCUACGGAGUUGCUGGUGGUGGAUGAGGGAAAAGUCCUUUCACUUAAGUUUACCAACGAUUUGAAUGAAAUUCAUCCGAACCAAGACUUGAUAUUCAAGGCUGCCCCUCGGCAAAGAGGGGUUUUGCAUUCAUUAAUAUUGCCUUGGGAUGAAGGAAGGAACAGGAGAGCCCUGAUUGACCUUGGACAUUUAUAAAGGCCUUUGGGCUGAUUACAAAGCAUUUGCAGAAAGAUGCAGUAUGAUGCAGCACGACCCACAGAAAUGCCCAGAAGUGCCCAGCUCAUCUAAGUGAGAAGGCAGCUGGCAGGAAAUCAACCUCAGAGAAGAUGGAAAUAAAAUGAGUCAGGAAAAACAGAGUUAAGGGAAGGAAAGUACAGCAACUCUCAAUGACUGUUUUAAAAAGCAAAGGAAAAGGGAGCUGAGAUGACAUACUUUGCACGCUGCUGCCCGAACAAGAGGAGAUACAGGACACCACACUGUGGACUGCAAAGUCAGCUCCUCUCUAUGCCUCAUCAGACAUUUUAGAAGCUGAGAAACUAGGCUUUAAAAUUCCUACUCAUACUUGUCAUUUCAAUGGAUAUUUCCAACUAAGUAAAUGAAUCAGCAAUAUUAGCCCACCAAAUAAACAGAGAAAAAAACCUUCAAAUGCCUUAAAAACAAUUGUCUGUGGUUUUAAAUAGAAUAGACUUGUAACAGAUACCAAAAUAUAUCAUUCAACUGAAAACCAAUUCCACGAAUUCACUGACAUGCUUUCUGGUUUGCAUCAGAAGAGGCGACGCCUUGUUCAGCAGCACCUUACUGCACGAGAGUGUCAGUGGAUCUGCUUGCAGAAUGCUGUGAUGGCAGCAGGAAGAGGAACAGAAGAGAUAUGGCCCCUUUCUCUCAUUAUGCUUGAUUAUUUUUUAAAGUUCAAUGAACUGAUCCAGCCCUGUUAUUCAACAAGCAUCAUGACAUAUCCAGGUUGACUUCUAGCACCUAAACCAUGAGCCAUGAUUUUAGACUCCACAAAACAUGAUGAUCAUGAAGAUAGAAGACAGCAGAUGUGGACUGCUGUUGGAAGGGCUGCAGAAAGGCUUCCUGUUUGGGAGAGAACUUGCUAAGUGACAUAUUCAAUUAAUGGAGCCUUUUAAUUUAAACUUGAUACGGCCAGUGCAAAAGACUGGAUGGAAUGAAGAGCACAGCAUCAACCUCAAAGGUUUUAUAAGUACCCAUCACAGAUUAUUCAAACACAUCUGCACAGUGUUAGAAUAUACUCCAUACACUGCCUGCCCGCACAAUUCUUAUGUUGAAUUUGACAUUUUAUGCUUCACUUAAAAAUGCUUAAUGGCUCUGACCCUGUACACCUUGCAGAGCCGCUGUCCCUGGCUGCUCUCAGCCUCACUGGGCUCAGGGUUGGCAGUGGGCUGAAGACCUCCUCCAGUUUGAAGGGAAGACCCCACAAUAACAAAGUUUUGUGUUUAUGGUUGCUCAUAAGUCCUUGGAAAAUGAACUGCGUUGUUCUGAGGUGUGCAUAAGCUAUGGAAAUUAAAAAUGCAACGGUGUAUGUCGUCUGUAUAAACUGCCCAAGCAUAGGUCAGCUACAUUUUGAAGACCAAACCUUGUGUUCCACAAAAUGCUGCUCUUCCAAUAGAGCAACAAAGUGAAAGCUAAAUCCAAUUUAAAAUAAACUGCAGCUCUCAAAUGGUUGUGUUUUCAAUGCCAUAACUUAGCAGUUCAAAAAACAAGGCAAAAACUUUUUUACUUGUCAAUGCACAAACAAUAUUACCACUUACAGAGAACUGUCAAGUGGGAAAACUUCUUUCAGCAGAAUUAAGA